UGGCUGAGAGGUUAAGAGCACUGGCUGCUAUUCCAGAGGUCCUGGGUUCAAUUCCCAG
rnacentral:tRNA from 1 species